UACGUAGGUGGCGAGCGUUGUCCGGAUUUACUGGGCGUAAAGAGCGCGCAGGCGGCUGAUUAAGUCUGAUGUGAAAUCUCCCGGCUCAACCGGGAAACUGCAUCGGAAACUGGUCGGCUUGAAGGUGGGAGAGGGUAGUGGAAUUCCCGGUGUAGUGGUGAAAUGCGUAGAUAUCGGGAGGAACACCAGUGGCGAAGGCGACUACCUGGCCCAUUCUUGACGCUGAGGCGCGAAAGCUAGGGGAGCGAACGGGAUUAGAAACCC
rnacentral:rRNA from 1 species